rnacentral:rRNA from 1 species
GGUUAAGCGACUAAGCGUACACGGUGGAUGCCCUGGCAGUCAGAGGCGAUGAAGGACGUGCUAAUCUGCGAUAAGCGUCGGUAAGGUGAUAUGAACCGUUAUAACCGGCGAUUUCCGAAUGGGGAAACCCAGUGUGUUUCGACACACUAUCAUUAACUGAAUCCAUAGGUUAAUGAGGCGAACCGGGGGAACUGAAACAUCUAAGUACCCCGAGGAAAAGAAAUCAACCGAGAUUCCCCCAGUAGCGGCGAGCGAACGGGGAGCAGCCCAGAGCCUGAAUCAGUGUGUGUGUUAGUGGAAGCGUCUGGAAAGGCGCGCGAUACAGGGUGACAGCCCCGUACACAAAAAUGCACAUGCUGUGAGCUCGAUGAGUAGGGCGGGACACGUGGUAUCCUGUCUGAAUAUGGGGGGACCAUCCUCCAAGGCUAAAUACUCCUGACUGACCGAUAGUGAACCAGUACCGUGAGGGAAAGGCGAAAAGAACCCCGGCGAGGGGAGUGAAAAAGAACCUGAAACCGUGUACGUACAAGCAGUGGGAGCACGCUUAGGCGUGUGACUGCGUACCUUUUGUAUAAUGGGUCAGCGACUUAUAUUCUGUAGCAAGGUUAACCGAAUAGGGGAGCCGAAGGGAAACCGAGUCUUAACUGGGCGUUAAGUUGCAGGGUAUAGACCCGAAACCCGGUGAUCUAGCCAUGGGCAGGUUGAAGGUUGGGUAACACUAACUGGAGGACCGAACCGACUAAUGUUGAAAAAUUAGCGGAUGACUUGUGGCUGGGGGUGAAAGGCCAAUCAAACCGGGAGAUAGCUGGUUCUCCCCGAAAGCUAUUUAGGUAGCGCCUCGUGAAUUCAUCUCCGGGGGUAGAGCACUGUUUCGGCAAGGGGGUCAUCCCGACUUACCAACCCGAUGCAAACUGCGAAUACCGGAGAAUGUUAUCACGGGAGACACACGGCGGGUGCUAACGUCCGUCGUGAAGAGGGAAACAACCCAGACCGCCAGCUAAGGUCCCAAAGUCAUGGUUAAGUGGGAAACGAUGUGGGAAGGCCCAGACAGCCAGGAUGUUGGCUUAGAAGCAGCCAUCAUUUAAAGAAAGCGUAAUAGCUCACUGGUCGAGUCGGCCUGCGCGGAAGAUGUAACGGGGCUAAACCAUGCACCGAAGCUGCGGCAGCGACACUGUGUGUUGUUGGGUAGGGGAGCGUUCUGUAAGCCUGUGAAGGUGUGCUGUGAGGCAUGCUGGAGGUAUCAGAAGUGCGAAUGCUGACAUAAGUAACGAUAAAGCGGGUGAAAAGCCCGCUCGCCGGAAGACCAAGGGUUCCUGUCCAACGUUAAUCGGGGCAGGGUGAGUCGACCCCUAAGGCGAGGCCGAAAGGCGUAGUCGAUGGGAAACAGGUUAAUAUUCCUGUACUUGGUGUUACUGCGAAGGGGGGACGGAGAAGGCUAUGUUGGCCGGGCGACGGUUGUCCCGGUUUAAGCGUGUAGGCUGGUUUUCCAGGCAAAUCCGGAAAAUCAAGGCUGAGGCGUGAUGACGAGGCACUACGGUGCUGAAGCAACAAAUGCCCUGCUUCCAGGAAAAGCCUCUAAGCAUCAGGUAACAUCAAAUCGUACCCCAAACCGACACAGGUGGUCAGGUAGAGAAUACCAAGGCGCUUGAGAGAACUCGGGUGAAGGAACUAGGCAAAAUGGUGCCGUAACUUCGGGAGAAGGCACGCUGAUAUGUAGGUGAAGCGACUUGCUCGUGGAGCUGAAAUCAGUCGAAGAUACCAGCUGGCUGCAACUGUUUAUUAAAAACACAGCACUGUGCAAACACGAAAGUGGACGUAUACGGUGUGACGCCUGCCCGGUGCCGGAAGGUUAAUUGAUGGGGUCAGCGCAAGCGAAGCUCUUGAUCGAAGCCCCGGUAAACGGCGGCCGUAACUAUAACGGUCCUAAGGUAGCGAAAUUCCUUGUCGGGUAAGUUCCGACCUGCACGAAUGGCGUAAUGAUGGCCAGGCUGUCUCCACCCGAGACUCAGUGAAAUUGAACUCGCUGUGAAGAUGCAGUGUACCCGCGGCAAGACGGAAAGACCCCGUGAACCUUUACUAUAGCUUGACACUGAACAUUGAGCCUUGAUGUGUAGGAUAGGUGGGAGGCUUAGAAGUGUGGACGCCAGUCUGCAUGGAGCCGACCUUGAAAUACCACCCUUUAAUGUUUGAUGUUCUAACGUUGACCCGUAAUCCGGGUUGCGGACAGUGUCUGGUGGGUAGUUUGACUGGGGCGGUCUCCUCCUAAAGAGUAACGGAGGAGCACGAAGGUUGGCUAAUCCUGGUCGGACAUCAGGAGGUUAGUGCAAUGGCAUAAGCCAGCUUGACUGCGAGCGUGACGGCGCGAGCAGGUGCGAAAGCAGGUCAUAGUGAUCCGGUGGUUCUGAAUGGAAGGGCCAUCGCUCAACGGAUAAAAGGUACUCCGGGGAUAACAGGCUGAUACCGCCCAAGAGUUCAUAUCGACGGCGGUGUUUGGCACCUCGAUGUCGGCUCAUCACAUCCUGGGGCUGAAGUAGGUCCCAAGGGUAUGGCUGUUCGCCAUUUAAAGUGGUACGCGAGCUGGGUUUAGAACGUCGUGAGACAGUUCGGUCCCUAUCUGCCGUGGGCGCUGGAGAACUGAGGGGGGCUGCUCCUAGUACGAGAGGACCGGAGUGGACGCAUCACUGGUGUUCGGGUUGUCAUGCCAAUGGCACUGCCCGGUAGCUAAAUGCGGAAGAGAUAAGUGCUGAAAGCAUCUAAGCACGAAACUUGCCCCGAGAUGAGUUCUCCCUGAC